CCCCUCUCAUGAUCACAACUGGAGAGUUUCCAGUAUUCUACCAGUCUUCGCUCUGGGAGGGAGAGUCAAGCAGAGGCAAACCCCUUCCAUUCCUAGCCUGGGCAGUGGCUAGUGAGUGGAAAACAAUCUGCUACAAGU